UGAGGAUACGGCUUCUUCCGCCAUUGGAGAGAGCUUGAGAUCAAGAGAGAUUCAGUAAUGGAGUUUUGGCGGGGUUUUCUUAUACGUAGGAGCAACGGUCAUGGCCAUCUUCCAGAUUGCAUCAAAGUCUCCAAGUAGUUAUAGUACUUUGGUUGGUAAAUUGAGUUAUAAACGAAGGCAAAUCACUGGACAAAACUACAUGCGAGGUCAAGUGUCACAAAGAAAACUUGUUGCCAUCCAAAUCAUUUACUUAUCUAGAGUCUAGAAGAUCUGCAUAGUCACUAACUUCUUCUUGUUCCACAUAAACCAAAAUAUCUAGCUUGGAAACAAUGACAAUAAUUAGAGACAAUUUUACUAAAUUAUUACGUGAUUUGUCUCUUAGACUUUAGUUUGAGUUUUUGUAAUCUAAAUUGUUGGUAAAAAAAUACCAAAACCAUUAUUUAAAUUUGAAUUUAUCUUUUUCUUCAUAUUUAUAUUACUAAACCAUAUAUUAAUUAGUAUUAGUACAUGUUUACUAAUGUAAAUAAAAACAAAAUGGUAAAUUUAAGUCCAUUUUUAUGCAACAGAAUUAAAUGUUCUUGUACUUUUUUUUUUCAAAUAAUUUAAAUUGCAUGGUAUUAAAAUAUUAAAACUCAAAUCAUAACCACAAGGUAGUUUAACAAAUUUUUUUCUACUACUAAUAAUAAAAAUAAUAAGUUCACAAAUGAAUAAUUGAAAGCAUGCAAAGUUAUCAGUAGAAAUAGCAUAGAGAUGGUGUUAAAUUUGUUUCAGUGAGACUGAGACAAGUUGGUUGAGGCCAAAUGUCGAGCACUUAAACUUUGCGUGCGGGUGUGAGCACUCUGGUUAGAAAUUUCCAGUCAAAGGCCGCCAGCAUUGACCGACGGGCAAAGCAAGUUGCAUGUGCACCGUGUUCUUCAUUUCAUUUGACUUUGCUGUUCCGUUCUACUUCUACCCUGUCCCACAAGUACCGGCUAGUGGUCUAGAUGAACGGACAGGGAACCUUCCUAGCUACCGCCCCCUUUGUUUUUAUUUGGUUUUUCUUAAUGAAUCAUUAAUGAAUCAUUAUUUUUAUUUUUAUUUUUUUAAAGUAUGGACAAGUCAUGAUAGGGAUGUGAUAGACCUAAAUCUAAACGUGAAGGUAAUUCCCUAAUACAUUUGUCCGCUUAUCUUCUAAGUCGGGCACGAUUUAAUGAAUUAAUUUUAAUUGA